AUUGAACGCUGGCGGCAGGCCUAACACAUGCAAGUCGAACGAGUGGCGGACGGGUGAGUAAUGUCUGGGAAACUGCCUGAUGGAGGGGGAUAACUACUGGAAACGGUAGCUAAUACCGCAUACCAUCGGAUGUGCCCAGAUGGGAUUAGCUAGUAGGUGGGGUAAAGGCUCACCUCGGCGACGAUCCCUAGCUGGUCUGAGAGGAUGACCGGCCAGACUGGAAGUGAGACACGGUCCAGACUCCGACGGGAGGCAGCAGUGGGGAAUAUGGAACAAUGGGCGCAAGCCUGAUGCAGCCAUGCCGAGUGUAUGAAGAAGGCCUUCGGCUUGUAAAGCACUUUAAGUUGGGAGGCGUUACCAACAGAAUAAGCACCGGCUAACUUCGUGCCAGCAGCCGCGGUAAUAC
rnacentral:rRNA from 1 species